rnacentral:rRNA from 1 species
UACGGGGGGAGCAAGCGUUGUUCGGAUUUACUGGGCGUAAAGGGUGUGUAGGUGGCGCGCUAAGUCGGGUGUGAAAUUUCGGAGCUUAACUCCGAAACUGCAUUCGAUACUGGCGUGCUUGAGGACUGGAGAGGAGACUGGAAUUCAUGGUGUAGCAGUGAAAUGCGUAGAGAUCAUGAGGAAGACCAGUGGCGAAGGCGGGUCUCUGGACAGUUCCUGACACUGAGACACGAAGGCCAGGGGAGCAAACGGG